rnacentral:tRNA from 1 species
GGAUUUUUUGUUGAAAGAAUGAGCGGUCCGAUGUCCAUCGGACAGGUCAUCGGUUCGAAUCCGAUAGGGUCCACCA